CGUAGGGGGCAAGCGUUGUCCGGAUUUAUUGGGCGUAAAGAGCGUGUAGGCGGCCGCACAGGUCCGUUGUGAAAACUGGAGGCUUAACCUUCAGACGUCGAUGGAAACCGUGCGGCUAGAGUCCGGAAGAGGAGAAUGGAAUUCCUGGUGUAGCGGUGAAAUGCGCAGAUAUCAGGAAGAACACCCGUGGCUAAGGCGGUUCUCUAGUACGGUACUGACGCUGAGACGCGAAAGCGUGGGGAGCGAACAGGAUUAGAUACCCUGGUAGUCCACGCCGUAAACGAUGGGUGCUAGGUGUGGGGGUGUCGACUCCCUCCGUGCCGAAGCUAACGCAUUAAGCACCCCGCCUGGGGAGUACGGCCGCAAGGCUA
rnacentral:rRNA from 1 species